UGAGAAGAAAUAUAUAUGUUUUAAUGAAAUAUAUUUUGGAUACAAAUAAUGGAAAAUGUUUUAGUCACGAAAAGAAUAUCCCUCUAUACGGGAGGGUAAAAUAAUGUCCCUCUAUACGGGAGGGUAAAAUAAUGUCCCUCUAUACGGGAGGGUAAAAUAAUAUCCCUCUAUACGGGAGGGUAAAAUAAUAUCCCUCUAUAAGGGAGGGUAAAAUAAUAUCCCUCUAUACGGGAGGGUAAAAUAAUGUCCCUCUGUACGGGAGGGUAAAAUAAUGUCCCUCUAUACGGGAGGGUAAAAUAAUGUCCCUCUGUACGGGAGGGUAAAAUAAUAUCCCUCUAUACGGGAGGGUAAAAUAAUGUCCCUCUGUACGGGAGGGUAAAAUAAUGUCCCUCUGUACGGGAGGGUAAAAUAAUAUCCCUCUAUACGGGAGGGUAAAAUAAUGUCCCUCUAUACGGGAGGGUAAAAUAAUGUCCCUCUAUACGGGAGGGUAAAAUAAUGUCCCUCUAUAUGGGAGGGUAAAAUAAUAUCCCUCUAUACGGGAGGGUAAAAUAAUGUCCCUCUAUACGGGAGGGUAAAAUAAUGUCCCUCUAUACAGGAGGGUAAAAUAAUAUCCCUCUAUACGGGAGGGUAAAAUAAUGUCCCUCUAUACGGGAGGGUAAAAUAAUGUCCCUCUAUACAGGAGGGUAA
ensembl:lncRNA